rnacentral:lncRNA from 1 species
GUUGAUUUAAAACUUACUGUGAAUCCAAAUCAGUUUUACAAGCCCAUAUUUGAAUCUAAUUGAGCUUGCUGAUAAAUUUUUAACCCACUUCAAGGCUCAAUCAACUUUCAAAUUGGUUUAUCACUGAAGAGUACAAAUUCUUUCUUUUUAUAAAAAAUGAGAAGAAUUCAAAGGCCCGUUUGUUUAAAGGCCUAAAAUUUGAUUUCAGGUCCACUUUACUAGUCAAGCCUAAAUUAGGAUCAGAGUCCAAUUAAGUCAAAUUUGGGUCUGACCCAACCCAGCAACGGAGCCCAAACGCCCACAUUAGUGUCGCAGGUGUGAAUACAAGCAAGAAGGGUAAAACAAUGAAAGAACCACAAACACAAAGAAGCAUAUGGGAGAUUAACAAUAAUACGAGUAUUAAAAAGCGGAAUAACCUGCAAGAAAAAACAAAAAAAAAAAAACCCUUGAAAAAAGAGAAGCCCCUGAACACGCCGUUAAAGGUAGACCCUCGGCCUUGCUCCACUGCCGUUUACUUUCACGUGCAUGCAUAAACAAAUGGUGGUGAGCUCCGAUGAAGGGCUUUCACCGAACUAAGUCCUCGGUUCUAAGAAUGUUUGGUGAAUCCAUGCGUUUAUUCCUUCCAGCUUCCUCCCCUUUUUUUAUUUCGUAGAUCUGGAACAGAGAACCCUUAUCGAAAAAAAGGGAAAAUUUUCAAGUUCUUUUUUCCAUUUUCCCCUACGAGGCUUUUCUAGUUUGAAACCCAGAAAGGAAGAAAAACAAAAAAUGAAGAAGAAAAAAAAACAAUAAGUUUUUUAGUCUCCGAUCACAACGUGUGGUGCUCCGCCGCUGGAAACCGAAGAACCUUGGAUUCUCCAGCGGCGGAGCUGCCCGAGAGAGAAAAAAGAGGAAACGGGAGUAUACAACUAAAUUUCAGAAAAAUGAAAAUCAAA